UACGGAGGGGGCCAGCGUUGUUCGGAAUCAUUGGGCGUAAAGGGCGCGUAGGCGGCCGAUCAAGUCCGACGUGAAAUUCCUCGGCUCAACCGAGGGCCUGCGUCGGAUACUGCUCGGCUUGAGUCCCGGAGAGGGUAGUGGAAUUCCCAGUGUAGCGGUGAAAUGCGUAGAUACUGGGAGGAACACCGGUGGCGAAGGCGGCUACCUGGACGGGUACUGACGCUGAGGCGCGAAAGCUAGGGGAGCAAACAGG
rnacentral:rRNA from 1 species